UUCAUACUCCCUCAGUCUGGAAUUGCUUGUCGCAUAAAUGGAUAAAAACAGAUGUAUCUAGAACUAAAAUACGUCUAGAUACAUCCAUUUCUCUGACAAGUAUUUCUGGAUGGAGUAUUUA
rfam:Triticum urartu cultivar G1812 contig877114, whole genome shotgun sequence.